rnacentral:lncRNA from 1 species
GUUUGAGGUUUUUUGAUUUAUCCACAGACAAAAAAUUCAUUUAAGUAGUGUUCAGGUUGAAAAAACAUAUCUCAACAGUUUAAGGUGAAGUAUGUUUAAAUAUAUUUUAAAGCUGUUGUGAUUAAUUAGUCCAUAAGUAAUAAAUUAAGGGAGUUUAUAACUAGGUAGGUGAAUUGAACACUAGAAGGCAUAAGAACAUGUAUUUAACUGAGCUAGGAACAUUAAUAUUCCCUUUCAGAACCUUUCCAGAUUCUUUCCUUAUUGAAAGGCUGCAAUGUUGAAAGGCUCCUCUGUACUCAUUCAACAGUGAAAUUACCUCUUUUGGUAGAAAUCUUGACUUUCCUCAUAGUGACAUUGUGCAUAGCCUACAAGAUUGUGUUUAUGUAUUUUAAUGUUUAUUGAUCUAAAUUCACUUACGUGACACAAAUUUUUAAAUGCCAUGCUAUUUUAUCUACUUUUCCCUGGUGAUGUUGCUUUAAGAGAAUAUGAAGGCAAGACAUAUUGGCAGGGAUCUGGGGGAGCUGCAAGGAAAAGAUUGCAUUUGUACCAUCAGUUUUGUGGAUGCAUUCUGCCAGAUCACAAAGAGAGGCUUUAGUGCCAUGUUCCAGGCAUAAAGAAUGAGAACCACAAGUUGUAAUGGAAAGCCAAAGUGUGCUUAUGCCCUGUGGCAGAGUGGCAGCUGAAAGCACUUGUCAGCUUGUCAAGCCAAAAUAGUCACCUGCCAACCAAGUUGAAGCAUGAGUUGCUCUGAAUGCUGGAUAAUGACUGUCCCGCCCCACGGAGAGAGGAUGCACAUGGCUGUGGGACCCAACAGGUGGCAAUCACAGCCCGGCCUCCGCCUCGGUGGAGUACCUACACAAGAGCCUCUGCCUUCUGAAAUCCUCCAAACCCGGCGGAAGAGAGAGCGCCAGCACUUAACAUUCACCUUCCUCUCUGCGCGCUACUUCCUUUCAGAUUUCAAGCCACUUUCCGAGAGUGAUGGAGUGCUUUGCUCCAUGUCAGAAAUCUGA